rnacentral:rRNA from 1 species
UACAGAGGUCUCAAGCGUUGUUCGGAUUCAUUGGGCGUAAAGGGUGCGUAGGCGGCGCGGUAAGUCGGGUGUGAAAUCUUGGAGCUUAACUCCGAAACUGCAUUCGAUACUGCCGUGCUUUGAGGGACUGGAGAGGAGACUGGAAUUUACGGUGUAGCGGUGAAAUGCGUAGAUAUCGUAAGGAAGACCGUGGCGAAGGCGGGUCUCGUGGACAGUUCCUGACGCUGAGGCACGAAGGCCAGGGGGAGCAAAACGGGG